rnacentral:rRNA from 1 species
UACAGAGGGGGCAAGCGUUAUUCGGAAUUAUUGGGCGUAAAGGGCGCGUAGGCGGCUUGGCAAGUGGAAGGUGAAAUCCCUCGGCUCAACUGAGGAACUGCCUUCCAGACUGCUUUGCUUGAGUCCGGGAGAGGUGAGUGGAAUUCCACGUGUAGCAGUGAAAUGCGUAGAGAUGUGGAGGAACACCGAUGGCGAAGGCAGCCCCCUGGGUCAACACUGACGCUCAUGCACGAAAGCGUGGGGAGCAAACAGG